rnacentral:tmRNA from 1 species
GGGGAUGACUGGUAUCGACAGAAGGCGCUCUUUUAAAACUGCAAGCCUCCUUUGAUUAACAGGAGUAAAACAGAAUCAAAAAACAAAAGACAAAUCUUUUGAUGUGUCUCCUCGUGCUGACAGCUUUGCUGUCAACUACGCUUUUGCGUAAAAAGGCAUCUUUUAAGUUUUUGCUUGUCGGAACUUUUAAGGUGUAAACAAAGACAAGACGCAAAUGCUAUGGCAGUUAAGACUAUAGUAUCCAUGUUCAAACUUAACAACCUUUAACUUUCUUGGUUAGCGGAUCAAGUUAAAGGUAUUAAUGCUAACCUACGCUUGUAGAUGUUUUAAAAAGUUCUUUUUGGAUUCCGGUUCAAUUCCGGACAUCUCCACAC